rnacentral:rRNA from 1 species
AGAGAGGGUGAAACUCCUGUUUGUUUGGCCAACCGAGGCAAGAACCAACGAGUCGAGUUGUUUGGGAUUGCAGCUCAAAUGCGGUGGUAAAUUCCAUCUCUAGCUAAAUACUGGUAGGAAACCGAUAGCGUACAARUACCGUGAGGGAAAGAUGCAAAGAACUUUGAAAAGAGAGUGAAAGAGUACCUGAAAUUGCUGAAAAGGAAGCGAACGAACCUAGUGACAGCUACGUCAUACUUUCCACCGUGCUUGCAAGGUGGACGCUGUGGCGAGCCCUGUUCGACUUGAUGACAGAUCCAUGUGCAAACUGGUGCUCGAAAGUUACUUUCUUGCGCCUCCCGCACGUGCUCUCAUCGAGCCRAACGAAAUAGAUUUGUUUGCCCCGUCUAGAAACACGGACCAAGGAGUCUAACAUAUGUGCGAGUACUGGGGUAGCAAACCUUGGUGCGCAAUGAAAGUAACAGCGGCUAGAAUGUGCUGGGCACACGCAGAGUCCGCCGGCCCCCAUCC